rnacentral:tRNA from 1 species
GCUAGGUUAGUUUAAUUGAAAAUUUUAAUUUGUGGAGUUAAUGAUGUGAAGAACAUUACACGUAGCA